rnacentral:rRNA from 1 species
UACGGGGGGGGUAAGCGUUGUUCGGAAUUACUGGGCGUAAAGGGCUCGUAGGCGGCCAACUAAGUCAGACGUGAAAUCCCUCAGCUUAACUGGGGAACUGCGUCUGAUACUGGAUGGCUUGGAUCCGGGAGAGGGAUGCGGAAUGCCAGGUGUAGCGGUGAAAUGCGUAGAUAUCUGGAGGAACACCGGUGGCGAAGGCGGCAUCCUGGACCGGUAUUGACGCUGAGGAGCGAAAGCCAGGGGAGCAAACGGG